rnacentral:rRNA from 1 species
AUACGUAGGGAGCGAGCGUUGUCCGGAAUUACUGGGUGUAAAGGGAGCGUAGGCGGGAGUGCAAGUCAGAUGUGAAAUACAUGGGCUCAACCCAUGGGCUGCAUUUGAAACUGCAUUUCUUGAGUGAAGUAGAGGUAAGCGGAAUUCCUGGUGUAGCGGUGAAAUGCGUAGAUAUCAGGAGGAACACCGGUGGCGAAGGCGGCUUACUGGGCUUUUACUGACGCUGAGGCUCGAAAGCGUGGGGAGCAAACAGGAUUAGAUACCCUGGUAGUCCACGCUGUAAACGAUGAUUACUAGGUGUGGGGGGACUGACCCCUUCCGUGCCGCAGUUAACACAAUAAGUAAUCCGCCUGGGGAGUACGGCCGCAAGGUUGAAACU